UAAUACGUAGGUGGCAAGCGUUGUCCGGAUUUAUUGGGCGUAAAGCGAGUGCAGGCGGUUCAAUAAGUCUGAUGUGAAAGCCUUCGGCUCAACCGGAGAAUUGCAUCAGAAACUGUUGAACUUGAGUGCAGAAGAGGAGAGUGGAACUCCAUGUGUAGCGGUGGAAUGCGUAGAUAUAUGGAAGAACACCAGUGGCGAAGGCGGCUCUCUGGUCUGCAACUGACGCUGGGGCUCGAAAGCAUGGGUAGCGAACAGGAUUAGAUACCCUGGUAGUCCAUGCCGUAAACGAUGAGUGCUAAGUGUUGGGAGGUUUCCGCCUCUCAGUGCUGCAGCUAACGCAUUAAGCACUCCGCCUGGGGAGUACGACCGCAAGGUUGAAACUCAAAGGAAUUGACGGGGGCCCGCACAAGCGGUGGAGCAUGUGGUUUAAUUCGAAGCAACGCGAAGAACCUUACCAGGUCUUGACAUCCAGUGCAAACCUAAGA
rnacentral:rRNA from 1 species